GACGAACGCUGGCGGCGUGCUUAACACAUGCAAGUCGAACGGAAAGGCCCUGCUUUUGUGGGGUGCUCGAGUGGCGAACGGGUGAGUAACACGUGAGUAACCUGCCCUUGACUUUGGGAUAACUUCAGGAAACUGGGGCUAAUACCGGAUAGGAGCUCCUGCCGCAUGGUGGGGGUUGAAAAGUUUCGGCGGUUGGGGAUGGACUCGCGGCUUAUCAGCUUGUUGGUGGGGUAGUGGCUUACCAAGGCUUUGACGGGUAGCCGGCCUGAGAGGGUGACCGGCCACAUUGGGACUGAGAUACGGCCCAGACUCCUACGGGAGGCAGCAGUGGGGAAUAUUGCACAAUGGGCGGAAGCCUGAUGCAGCAACGCCGCGUGCGGGAUGACGGCCUUCGGGUUGUAAACCGCUUUCGCCUGUGACGAAGCGUGAGUGACGGUAAUGGGUAAAGAAGCACCGGCUAACUACGUG
rnacentral:rRNA from 1 species